rnacentral:rRNA from 3 species
AGGGAUCAUUACCGAGUUUAC